GAAAAAAAAAAAAAGUCAAAGGUAUUUUCUUAAAGGGGUCUUGGCUUCUGCAAUAUGGAAAGCUCAGAAGGGGAAUGAAGGAUGAAUAAUUAAUUAGCCACUAGAAGAGCAGUAGCACUUGGAAAUAGUAAUUAAUUACACGUCAAACAUUAUCUAAAGCUCAACUAAUGUUGACAUGGUUUUAUUUACCUCUUCUAUCUUCAGUCCUUCACA
rnacentral:misc_RNA from 1 species